rnacentral:rRNA from 1 species
UACAGAGGUGGCAAGCGUUGUUCGGAAUUACUGGGCGUAAAGCGCGUGUAGGCGGCUCUUCAAGUCAGGCGUGAAAGCCCCGGGCUCAACUCGGGAACUGCGCUUGAUACUGUCGAGCUAGAGUGUGGAAGGGGCGAUUGGAAUUCCGUGUGUAGCGGUGAAAUGCGUAGAUAUACGGAGGAACACCAGAGGCGAAGGCGGAUCGCUGGGCAAACACUGACGCUGAGACGCGAAAGCUAGGGUAGCAAACGGG